UACGUAGGGCGCGAGCGUUGUCCGGAAUUAUUGGGCGUAAAGAGCUCGUAGGCGGCCUGUCGCGUCCGCUGUGAAAACCCGGGGCUUAACCCCGGGCCUGCAGUGGAUACGGGCAGGCUGGAGGCAGGCAGGGGAGAACGGAAUUCCCGGUGUAGCGGUGAAAUGCGCAGAUAUCAGGAAGAACACCGAUGGCGAAGGCAGAUCUCUGGGCCGUAACUGACGCUGAGGAGCGAAAGCAUGGGGAGCGAACAGG
rnacentral:rRNA from 1 species